rnacentral:rRNA from 1 species
UACGUAGGGUCCGAGCGUUGUCCGGAAUUACUGGGCGUAAAGAGCUCGUAGGUGGUUUGUCGCGUUGUUCGUGAAAACUCACAGCUCAACUGUGGGCGUGCGGGCGAUACGGGCAGACUUGAGUACUGCAGGGGAGACUGGAAUUCCUGGUGUAGCGGUGGAAUGCGCAGAUAUCAGGAGGAACACCGGUGGCGAAGGCGGGUCUCUGGGCAGUAAUUGACGCUGAGGAGCGAAAGCGUGGGGAGCGAACAGG